CCUGUGUGUACCUGUGUGUACCUGUGUGUAGCUGUGUAAAGUAAUGUAGAGUAAUGUAGACCUGUGUGUAGCUGUGUGUAGCUGUGUGUAGCUGUGUGUACCCAUGUGUACCUGUGUGUAGCUCUGUGUAGCUGUGUGUAGCUGUGUGUACCCGUGUGUACCUGUGUGUACCUGUGUGGUAAUGUGUAAAGUAAUGUAGACCUGGGUAAUGUAGAAAAUGUGUGUAGUUGUGUGGUAAUGUAGAGUUGUGUGUAGUAAUGGGGUAAUGUAGAGUUGUGUGUAGUUGUGUGGUAAUGUAGAGUUGUGUGUAGUUGUGUGGUAAUGUAGAGGUAUGUGUAGUUGUGUGGUAAUGUAGAGUUGUGUGUAGUUGUGUGUUAAUGUAGAGUUGUGUGUAGUUGUGUGUAGUUGUGUGGUAAUGUAGAGUUGUGUGUAGUUGUGUGGUAAUGUAGAGUUGUGUGUAGUUAUGUGGUAAUGUAGAGUUGUGUGUAGUUGUGUGGUAAUGUAGAGUUGUGU
ensembl:lncRNA